rnacentral:lncRNA from 1 species
AAGGCCGAAGGUGAAGCUUGUUGGAAACGAGUGGACCCAUGUGUGAUGAUGUUUUCCUAGCCUAAGUAUGGGUUGGGGAAAGUUCCAGGGGCAUCAGGUGCCUCUGGGUUAGUUGGGGACAGAGGGGUGCCUCUACUAACGGUUGGAAGUUUUCCCUUAAGACACCUAUAUGGAGGGGAUAACUGUAACUAAGCCAAGUCAUGGCCAAGGGUUAGGGGCCAAGGCCACGGAUUGACUAUGGAUCGGUGGGAUGUUUUGGGUGGUUCCAAGGGCUUGGGACCACGGUGCCUAAGGUUGCUAAGUGUUGGGGCAAGCUGGGCGCGGAACGUUGUGAUGACGGGAAACGGGGUGCGCGGAACUGCUGGGCGGUUGCUGGUGCGCGCCAAAGACGUUGGGCAGUUGCCA